rnacentral:misc_RNA from 1 species
CCAAACUUGGUCAUUUAGAGGAAGUAAAAGUCGUAACAAGGUUUCCGUAGGUGAACCUGCGGAAGGAUCAUUACCGAGUGCGGGCCCUCCGGGUCCAACCUCCCACCCGUGUCUACCGUACCUUGUUGCUUCGGCGGGCCGCGUCCCCCGUGGCGCGCCGGGGGGCCUCUCUUCCCCUGGGCCCGCGCCCGCCGGAGACACCAGCCAACCCUGUGUGAAGGUUGCCGUCUGAGUGGGUUGAUCGAAUCGUUUAAAACUUUCAACAACGGAUCUCUUGGUUCCGGCAUCGAUGAAGAACGCAGC